AAAAACAAAGAAAGAAAGUGUUACACCAGGAUAAAAAUGACACAGAACCAAACUGGAAGGGGGGAAGAAGAAAAAAAAACCCUACCUACCGGAGCACCCGUCUUGAGAUAUAUCCAUUUACUCUGUAUAUGUACAUUCUGCUUUGUAGUCUAAUUGAUGAACUUAAAUAUUUAACGCAAAGUGACUGUCUGAGAAAACAGACAAAGACGAACUGAAUCAAAUAUUGUACAUAGCUGUAGGAUAUUAUACAGAAUCUCAUUUUCUCUCCAGAACCUGCUGGAAUGAAUAGGAUUCAUUUGUAAACCAAAUUCGCGAGGAAUUAAUCAAUCUUCAACAUAACAUUCUGUGAAGUUUGGUGCAUUUGUUCCUAGCGGAGCUUCUGAAAUGGAAAAUCAACUAAAAGACCUGAAGCACAACCUCAGGCACAAGAUGGAUACUUACAAGGGAAGGUCUCGAGCACAGUUAGAGCACCUUCUCUGCUGUUUCAGAGGACUAGGACGGAAAAUAAUCGGGAAAAGUCGAACUCUAGCUGUAUGGCUUUAAUGCGAGAAAGCUAUGAGCUCAUCAAAACGAUGCAAUCCUUACAGCAGAGGACGCUGUUGCUGUUCCCCUGCUGUAUCCUGUACAAUUUUAUAUCGAUUCAAGGAUAAUUAAGCAUACUUGUGUAAGGAUCACUAUCCGAAGCAUCUCAUUUACUUGGAAAUCAACGCAUUCUGCUGGGGAAAAAAAAAAAGAAAAGUUUCGACGUCGAUUUGUUCGAAUACCGAAAUAUCGUGCUACACGUCGCGUAUCGUAGUCCGUAAGAAUCGCGAUGUGAACUUUUUAUCAUUUCAGAAGACUUCUAACUGCAGGGUUAUCAGAAAUUGUUGAAUUUUAUGUUAGGAAUAAUGACGUGACCAAUCAUAUAUUAAGGAGCCCGGUUCAUUUAAAAACAAACCUUGCUAAUAUUUUGUCCGGAGUGACCGACGGAAAAGGUGACAUACUUUUAAUUCAACAGUACAUCAUGAUCAGAAUCAGCUAAAACACCCUGUCGCAAUUCUUUUCUCUCUCAGAGAAUGAAAAAGUGCCUAUGCUGAUGAAUAAUUUCAUUACAGUGCUAAAGAGGACACGCACUGCAGUUACAGCUUUCCGUCACUAGAGGGAGACACAUGACUGAUUUAUAAACUACACAACUUCGUCUUUUUUUUUUUUUUUUUUAAAUCCUUAAAUUGGAUGUUGCUCAGUUAUUCAAGUUCAUUUCCACACCCCACAGACAUAUUAACAGGCAUGUUACAAAAGCACUGCUUAUUGCACAUUUUAAUAUAAAACAGUAUUUUAAAAAUCAUAUAUAUGAAUAUACAGAAAGAAAAACAACACACAAAAGAUAUAGUACACUUUCCAUACAGUGUGUUGAAUUCAAAAUAAUAACAAACAAACAAACAAAAAAUGAACCCACUGUUGGUCAAUACAUUUUACUGUACAAAAUCUCUCAUUAGGCAUGUCCUAAUAAUCAGUUAUACAAUACACUGCAACGUCCAAUACAUAUUAUUAUUAUUAUUAUUAUUCGCGAAGGCAGUUUAGGUAGGCGACAGCUUUUAUGCUCCUAAAAAUAACAUAUUUCCUAUGUAAAAGACUAUGUAAAAGAUGGUUGUUUUAUUGUUGGACAAAUUUACAAAAACGUGGAAUUGUAUACUUUCCUUAAUGACACAAAAACAAACCAAAAAAAAAAAACAACGCACAAACAUUAUGCGUAAUCUGGAGAACAAAAUGGUGGAUAGAACACACUGAUGUUUUGAUGGACUGAGGAUCAUGCUAGAAAAGUUUGAGGUAAUGUUUAAAUCGUGUUUGUCUUUUUCUUUUAAAGUCUUCUUUGUGAUGCAACAUGGAAUUUCAGUUAGCGGUUGAUGCUACGUGUAAGUACGGUGUACUUGUAACUGAACGGAGAUUUUUCUUGAUAAUUUAUCGACAUAUCUGAGGUAAAUGUUGACGUUCCCGUCAGGACCAUCUAAUUUUCGCCGACACUGUACCUUUACGUUGUCCGUAUAAACAACUUCAAGGCUUUACGCUAGCUAAACCUGUAUUUAGCAUGUUUCCUAGACGCCCAGCAACAAGAUCUGUUGUUCUCACGACUUUAACCACCGGUGCGUUUGUCUUCCUGCUUUGCGUUUGAAUGUAACAUGUCCCCAACAAAAGCUUAAACCAUAAUUGAAUGUUGGCACACGAGCUAACGGAGAUGAAAUGUAAAACGGCUAGCGGAGCUCACGGCCUCGGUUCAAUCACUUUUAGAUCUGAAUUAAACGUUAACGGUAUCCGUGGCUCUGUUCAUUCAAUUUACAUCGAUAAAGCUGCUCCCGGUUUUCGCUGAGGGGAAAUGAACUUGAUAUUACGUUUUAAUAUUCCUAAAUUAACAGCAUCAACUGUUAACACUCCGGUCAUCGUGAACGUGGGACGGAGCAGCGUGUUUAGCAUGUGCGUGUUUAGGAUGAAAUGAGAAUUUGAAUUGAACCCAGUGGAAACCCAUUGGACUGCUUCAAGAGGAUCAUGUACAGGGAUGGGGACAGGGGCAGGAAGCAGAGCUUGAAGACAUGAUGCCGCCAUGAUGUUACAGUCCUAAUGUGUGUUUCAUCUCUGGAUAUAUUCAAGUACAACGAGCAACACUGCUCGAUAAGAAGUGUACAUUUAUUAUACAAUACUGUACAGCUACAUAUAUACACGUACUUCUUCUGUAUGGUAGACUAUAUAACCCAUGUACGCCGACCUAUAUAGGUCCUAAUUAUUAACACCACUGUGUUGUGUUUACAUUCAUACCACAAACAUGGAAAAUACUUGUUUCUGAUUGGCUGGCAGGUGUUUGUUAUGUAGGACAGGGAGUAUAGUAUAUAACGGUGUUCCCAGGAUAGAGAAAAUAGUAUAUCCCAGUAUUCCCAGGAUAAGGAAUAUAGUAUAUCCCGGUAUUCCCAGUAUAAGGAACACAGUAUAUCCCAUAUUUCCCAGGAUAAGGAAUAUAGUAUAUCCCAGUAUUCCCAGGAUAAGGAACACGGUAUAUCCCAGUGUUCCCAGGAUAAGGAACACGGUAUAUCCCAGUAUUCCCAGGAUAAGGAACACGGUAUAUCCCAGUAUUCCCAGGAUAAGGAACAUAGUAUAUCCCAGUAUUCCCAGGAUAAGGAAUAUAGUAUUUCCCGGUAUUCCCAGGAUAAGGAACACAAUAUAUCCCAGUAUUCCCAGGAUAAGGAAUAUAGUAUAUCCCAGUAUUCCCAGUAUAAGGAACACAGUAUAUCCCAGUGUUCCCAGGAUAAGGAAUAUAGUAUAUCCCAGUAUUCCCAGUAUAAGGAAUACAGUAUAUCCCAGCAUUCCAGGAUAAGGAAUAUAGUAUAUCCCAGCAUUCCCAGUAAAGGAAC
ensembl:lncRNA